rnacentral:tRNA from 1 species
GCCGACGUGGCACAACCUGGCACUGCGAUGGCCUUGAGAGCCAUUUUCCGCAAGGAUAUCCCAGUUCAAAUCUGGGCGUCGGCG